rnacentral:rRNA from 1 species
AUUGAACGCUGGCGGCAGGCCUAACACAUGCAAGUCGAGCGGAAACGAGUUAACUGAACCUUCGGGGGACGUUAACGGCGUCGAGCGGCGGACGGGUGAGUAAUGCCUAGGAAAUUGCCCUGAUGUGGGGGAUAACCAUUGGAAACGAUGGCUAAUACCGCAUGAUGCCUACGGGCCAAAGAGGGGGACCUUCGGGCCUCUCGCGUCAGGAUAUGCCUAGGUGGGAUUAGCUAGUUGGUGAGGUAAGGGCUCACCAAGGCGACGAUCCCUAGCUGGUCUGAGAGGAUGAUCAGCCACACUGGAACUGAGACACGGUCCAGACUCCUACGGGAGGCAGCAGUGGGGAAUAUUGCACAAUGGGCGCAAGCCUGAUGCAGCCAUGCCGCGUGUGUGAAGAAGGCCUUCGGGUUGUAAAGCACUUUCAGUCGUGAGGAAGGUAGUGUAGUUAAUAGCUGCAUUAUUUGACGUUAGCGACAGAAGAAGCACCGGCUAACUCCGUGCCAGCAGCCGCGGUAAUACGGAGGGUGCGAGCGUUAAUCGGAAUUACUGGGCGUAAAGCGCAUGCAGGUGGUUUGUUAAGUCAGAUGUGAAAGCCCGGGGCUCAACCUCGGAAUAGCAUUUGAAACUGGCAGACUAGAGUACUGUAGAGGGGGGUAGAAUUUCAGGUGUAGCGGUGAAAUGCGUAGAGAUCUGAAGGAAUACCGGUGGCGAAGGCGGCCCCCUGGACAGAUACUGACACUCAGAUGCGAAAGCGUGGGGAGCAAACAGGAUUAGAUACCCUGGUAGUCCACGCCGUAAACGAUGUCUACUUGGAGGUUGUGGCCUUGAGCCGUGGCUUUCGGAGCUAACGCGUUAAGUAGACCGCCUGGGGAGUACGGUCGCAAGAUUAAAACUCAAAUGAAUUGACGGGGGCCCGCACAAGCGGUGGAGCAUGUGGUUUAAUUCGAUGCAACGCGAAGAACCUUACCUACUCUUGACAUCCAGAGAACUUUCCAGAGAUGGAUUGGUGCCUUCGGGAACUCUGAGACAGGUGCUGCAUGGCUGUCGUCAGCUCGUGUUGUGAAAUGUUGGGUUAAGUCCCGCAACGAGCGCAACCCUUAUCCUUGUUUGCCAGCGAGUAAUGUCGGGAACUCCAGGGAGACUGCCGGUGAUAAACCGGAGGAAGGUGGGGACGACGUCAAGUCAUCAUGGCCCUUACGAGUAGGGCUACACACGUGCUACAAUGGCGCAUACAGAGGGCGGCCAACUUGCGAAAGUGAGCGAAUCCCAAAAAGUGCGUCGUAGUCCGGAUUGGAGUCUGCAACUCGACUCCAUGAAGUCGGAAUCGCUAGUAAUCGUGGAUCAGAAUGCCACGGUGAAUACGUUCCCGGGCCUUGUACACACCGCCCGUCACACCAUGGGAGUGGGCUGCAAAAGAAGUAGGUAGUUUAACCUUCGGGGGGACGCUUACCACUUUGUGGUUCAUGACUGGGGUG